UGGAGUUCAAGGGAUCAUUUCUAGAACAACUUUCUAGAAAGGUGCACUCAAAAGUGAUGGUUUGUCUGAUCCAUGAGGAGAAGGCAAAGUAUUUUCUUCUGUGCACUAAGGAGUGAGCAGGGCGCCUAGCCACAGAUGUUCCCACCCACCAUGUUGGUGGAUCUUCUGAUGGCUGUUGAUGACAAUUCUGUCUUCUUCUGCUGAGGAGACCAGAAGGACACAGGCCGAAUGGC